ensembl:lncRNA
GCUACAAUGCUGCAGUUGUCAACAACUGUUGCCCUCGAUGCGAAAGAAACGGCCACCAACCAAUGGCGAGCAUCAAUAGGAAUAACUUGAUAUCAAGAAACGCCUGAUAUCAGAAAACACCCAUAAUUGCAAUCUGCAAUUACACCCUUCUCCAAUUUUCAGCUGUCAGAGAUGCACCUCCCCCGAUGUCACUCGACUUUUGUCUACUGUAGAAAGGGCCCAUGGAGUUGGUGGAAUAAUCCUUUAAUUCAUUGCCAUUUACUCAGCUGGGCCAGGGGCGCUUUAAUUAGGUCAGGUGGCAAUGUCCGACAGAUCUCAACUCCAUAAAAGGAGGAAAUUGCCAUCGCCUGAUCUCGCUGCUUUCUCUUCCUUAACUCCAUCUGAUCCAGACGUUCUGUGCGUCCAUGAAUCCACCACAGACUACUCCGUAAAUAUACCACUUUAUGGUUAAAGGAAUUCCUGCCUCAGUCUCAUCCAUUCCUGACACGUGACCACCUGUUCACCUUCACUGUCAGUCAUCCUACCUGUCCAGCUACCCACACAGAUUCCACUAAUCUGUCAUCUACAGUCGGUUGCUUUUGCCUUACCACUGAAACACGCCCACAGACUUGAUUGUUGACAUAUUAGAUCAGAUGAGGAUGGGCUUGAUUGACAGGGCUGAGCACCAAUAGAUGAAGUAAAACAUUUCUAGCGGGAUUGAAUCCGCUUAAAGGAAAGAACCACUCACUUGAUUAACUUAAUGUAGCAGGCAUAAAAUAGCAUUUUAUUGACAAUCAACUUACCUGGAAAAUGAAAUUGCACCAUCGAUGAAUAAUUAACAAUAAACUUAUCACAAACAAUCCAUGGGCCCUCUCACAGUGGCAACUACACUGAGUAUACCAAACAUUAGGAACACCUUCCUAAUAAUGAGUUGCAACCCUUUGGCCCUCAGAACAGCCUCGAUUGGUCAGGGCAUGGACUCUACAUGGUGUCGCAAGCAUUCUACAGGGAUGCUGGCACAUGUUGACUCCAAAUCUUCCCACAAUUGUGUCAAGUUGGCUGGAUGUCCUUUGGGUGGUGGACCAUUCUUGAUACACAAGGGAAACUGUAGAGCAUGACAAACUCAGCAGCGUUGCAGUUCUUGACACAAACCAGUGCUUUUGGUACCUACUACCAUACCAAGUUCGAAGGCACUUACAUUUUUUGUCUUGGCCAUCUACCCUCUGAAUUGCACACAUACACAAUCCAUGUCUCAAGUCUUUUGAUCUGCCUCUUGUGGUGUGGGAGCUGGGCUUUGGAAAAGUGGGUGUGGUUAUAUCCUGCCUGGUUGGCCCUGUCCGGGUUUAUCGUCGGACGGGACCAGUGUCCCCUGAUUCUCUCUUCGGACAUGCUGUUUUCGUUUCUCUCUCCCUACCACACCUGCUGUCGACUUCUGAAUGCUCAGAUAUGAAAAGUCAACUGACAUUUACUCCUGAGGUACUGACCUGUUGCACCCUCUAAAACCACUGAUUACUAUUUGACCCUGCUGGUCAUCUAUGAACAUUUGAACAUCUUGAAGAACAAUCUGGCCUUAGUGGCCAUGUACUCUUAAUCUCCACCAGGCACAGCCAGAAGAGGACUGGCCACCUCUCAGAGCCUGGCUCCUCUCUAGAUUUCUUCCUAGGUUCCUGCCUUUCUAGGGAGUUUUUCCUAGCCACCGUGCUUCUACAUCUGCAUUGCUUGCUGUCUGGAGUUUUAGGCUGGGUUUCUGUAAAGUCCUUUGACAUCUGCUGAUGUAAAAACGGCUUUAUAAAUACAUUUGAUUGUGUGCCAAAUCAUCGUCUGAGCAGUUGGGCAUCAGAUUGCUAUAUCAUAUGGGUCGCGUUCCCCUGCUCAGACGUUGCAUGCAUCAGCCAAUGGUUGAUACUGUAGUUCCAAAAACCGAAGUGAACAACUAUUUUUAUGAAAUGCGACAGUACAGCUAUAUUACAUUUUGUGAAAGAAAAAUAGCUAAACCUAUUUACCGAAAAAUAUUCUGAAAUACAGUCCAACUCUUGACGUGGUGUAAAGUGUUCAUUUUGGGAUGUUUGUGUGGGUUUUUAUUGUGUGAAUGUGCUUUAAAAAGUGGUAAUAUGUAUUAAUUGUGUUCAAUAUACUAGGCCCAUAGAUGGUUUAAAAGGAUAGUUCACCCAAAUUACUAAAUAACACAUUGCUUACAGGGUACAGAAACCAGUCUAUGGACAAGGUAUGACAGCAAUCAAUUGGUUUCCACAUGCUAACGUUUUAGCAUUUGUGGCACAAAUCCCAUUCGAGUCAUGGGAUGGAUGCUAGCAUUUAUCUAAAAUUGAUUGUGAAGCUCAGCAAAGUCACGUAUAGAUGUUUUGCAUAAGAUGCGGGAAAAAAGCUCAUAUCCGUCCCAUGGUUUAAAAGGGAUUUGUGCCACAAAUGCUAAAUCAUGGAAACGGUGCCAGAGAAACACAACCAAAGUAUGGAUUGCUGUCAUGACUUGUCCAAUUACCCUGUAAGCAAUGUACUUUUCUAAUUUGGGUGAACUAUCACUUUAAAAUGGAUGGCCACACUGUAGGUCUCAAAGGCUCCAUCUAGUGUAGAAGAUUUGAAGAAUUCCCAAAUUAUACUUCAUAUACAUGCAGAUGGUUGUUAUAAAAGCAACUGUCUAGGAGCUGUAAAAAGUUCAAUUACACUGAACAAAAAUAUGUAUGUAAAAAAGUGUUUAUCCCAUGACCUGAAUUAAAAGAUCCCAGAAAUGUUCCAUAAGCACAAAAAGUUUAUUUCUCUCAAAUGUUGUGCACAAAUCUGUAUACAUCCACUUGACAGGAGUGGCAUAUCAAUUUUCUGAUUAAACAGCAUGAUAAUUACACAGGUGCACCUUGUGCUGUGCUGGGGACAAUAAAAGGCCACUGUAAAAUGUGCAGUUGUCACACAACACAAUGCCACAGAUGUCUCAAGUUGAGGGAGCAUGCAAUUGGCAUGCUGACUUGUAGAAUGUCCACCAGAGCUGUUGCCAAAGAAUUUAAUGUUUUAUUUCUCUAACAUAAACUUCCAUCUGUUUGUUUUAGAGAAUUUGGCAGUACGUCCAACCGGCCUCAAUCGCAGACCACGUCUGUUGCGUCAUGUGGGCGAGCGGUUUGCUGAUGUCAACGUGAACAGUGCCAGGCCCAUGGUGGUGGGGUUAUGGUAUGGGCAGGCAUAAGCUACGGACAACGAACACAAUUGCAUUUUAUCAAUGGCAAUUUGAAUGCAAAAAAAUACCGUGACGAGAUCCUGAGACCCAUUUAAGGUAUCUGUGACCAACAGAUGCACAUCUGUACUCUCAGUGACGUGAAAUCGAUAGAUUAGUGUCGAAUUUAUUUAUUUAAAUUGACUGAUAUCCUCAUAUGAACUGUAACUCAGUAAAAUCAAUGAAUGCAUGGCAUGUUGCGUUUAUUUGUGUUCAGUAUAUAAUAAACAUUUUACCAUCUUCUUUGGUCGUGACUUUACAAUAACGUCAUAGAAACUAAACUACAGAUGCAUUACGCACAUUGUAGUGUUUCUCUUCUUGUCCGCAACAUGGCACUCUAGGCUAAGCAAUGAAUGGCUAUGGUUAGAACUUUCGAUAUGUAUACAAAUGGAAAUAUCUCAAACAUUUAUCGCGUCCUCGCUCCUCGUCUCCUUCUCAAGACCCAUUGGAUGAGAAAGCCAGAACUCCCUCUAAAUGUAUCCAAUGGGGAAAGGACAGGACGCGAGGCGUAAGUAAACAGAGAUUUCAGAGAAAGGAGAUAGUGAUCCUAAUGCAAUUACCGGAAGACCAUCAUAACGCCUCACCAGCAGAAUGUCGACCAAUCGUGUUCACGUUCUAUGGUGCGUCACGCGGUUGCUAAACUAAUUGUAACGCAAUCCAUCCUUACAAAUUUCAUAUACACAAAUGUAAAUUUACAAACAGAACCACAUUUUCGUACCCUACAAAAAGAAAUUGAACUGUAUUUUAAGACGGUUAAAUGCUCUACUAACAAAAAAGCUGUUAGAAUUGUAAGUAUAUGCAUGUCCAUUAAGGUCCUUGUGUAAUUGAAAUGUGAUAUUGUACCCCCUAGUGCGAUUGUCAAUUGUUUAAUCUAUGUAUGCUUGUUCCCUCAUGUGCUUUAUGUAUUGAUUUAAUAAAAAUAAAAAAUAAAUUAAACGCAAUCCAUCCUUAACUUGGCUAUUUUCCUCGAAAGUACGCAAUGUCACGAUUCCAAAGCUACACGAUAUUACAUACAAGUUAAUUAUCUCAUAUCUCGG